rnacentral:rRNA from 1 species
AACGAACGCUGGCGGCAUGCCUAACACAUGCAAGUCGAACGAGACCUUCGGGUCUAGUGGCGCACGGGUGCGUAACGCGUGGGAACCUGCCCUUAGGUUCGGAAUAACUCCCCGAAAGGGGCGCUAAUACCGGAUAAUGUCUUCGGACCAAAGAUUUAUCGCCUUUGGAUGGGCCCGCGUUGGAUUAGCUAGUUGGUAGGGUAAAAGCCUACCAAGGCGACGAUCCAUAGCUGGUCUGAGAGGAUGAUCAGCCACACUGGGACUGAGACACGGCCCAGACUCCUACGGGAGGCAGCAGUGGGGAAUAUUGGACAGUGGGCGAAAGCCUGAUCCAGCAAUGACGCGUGAGUGAUGAAGGCAUUAGGGUUGUAAAGCUCUUUUACCCGGGAUGAUAAUGACAGUACCGGGAGAAUAAGCUCCGGCUAACUCCGUG